CCUACGGGUGGCAGCAGUGGGGGAUAUUGGACAAUGGGCGGAACACUGAUCCAGCGACGCCGCGUGAGUGAAGAAGUAUUUCGGUAUGUAAAGCUCUGUCAGCAGGGAAGAAAGCAAUGACGGUACCUGACCAAGAAGCCCCGGCUAACUACAUGCCAGCAGCCGCGGGAAUACGUAGGGGGCAAGCGUUAUCCGGAAUUACUGGUUUUAAGGGGAGCGUAGACGGCUGGGUAAGUCUGGCGUGAAAGGCGGGGGCCCAACCCCCGGAAUGGUCUGGGAACUGGAUGGCUGGAGUGCAGGGGAGGUAAGCGGAAUUCCUGGUGUAGCGGUGAAAUGCGUAGAUAUUACGAAGAACACCGGUUGCGAAGGCAGCUUACUGGACUGUAACUGACGUUGAGGCUCGAAAGCGUGGGGAGCAAACAGGAUUAGAUACCCCGGUAGUC
rnacentral:rRNA from 1 species